CAAACCCAAAGGCUCUUUUAAGAGCCAUCCACUCUGCAUUACAGAGACCAUUUCGGUGAAGCUCACCAUCAUUGGUCACACCUGGUGAAGCUCACCAU